GACGAACGCUGGCGGCGUGCUUAACACAUGCAAGUCGAACGAAGUGGCGGACGGGUGAGUAACGCGUAAUCAACCUGCCCUUCAGAGGGGGACACCAGUUGGAAACGACUGCUAAUACACCUUACUGAUGGACGGGAUUGCGUCUGAUUAGCUAGUUGGGGGGGUAACGGCCCACCAAGGCGAUGAUCAGUAGCCGGUCUGAGAGGAUGAACGGCCAAAGUGGGACUGGGACAAGGCCCAGACUCCUAAGGGGGGCAGCAGUGGGGAAUCUUCCGCAAUGGAGGAAAGUCUGACGGAGCAACGCCGCGGGAGUGAUGACGGCCUUCGGGUUGUAAAGCUAUGUUAAUCGGGACGCGGUACCGGAAUAGAAAGCCACGGCUAACUACGUGCCAGCAGCCGCGGUAAUAC
rnacentral:rRNA from 1 species